rnacentral:rRNA from 1 species
AAUAGAUACCCAGGUAGUCCACGCCCUAAACUAUGUCGACUGGUUGUUGGGGGAGUCUGUCCCUCAGUAACGUAGCUAACGCGUGAAGUCGACCGCCUGGGGAGUACGGUCGCAAGAUUAAAACUCAAAGGAAUUGACGGGGACCCGCACAAGCGGUGGAUUAUGUGGAUUAAUUCGAUGCAACGCGAAGAACCUUACCUACCCUUGACAUGCCAGGAACCUCGCAGAGAUGUGAGGGUGCCCGAAAGGGAACCUGGACACAGGUGCUGCAUGGCUGUCGUCAGCUCGUGUCGUGAGAUGUUGGGUUAAGUCCCGCAACGAGCGCAACCCUUGCCAUUAGUUGCUACAUUCAGUUGGGCACUCUAAUGGGACUGCCGGUGACAAACCGGAGGAAGUGGGGAUGACGUCAAGUCCUCAUGGCCCUUAUGGGUAGGCUUCACACGUAAUACAAUGGCGCAUACAGAGAGCUGCAAACCCCGGCGAGGGGGGUAGCCAAUCCCAAAAACGUGCGUCGUAGUCCGGAUUGUUCU